rnacentral:rRNA from 1 species
UAGACACAAGACCAACCAUGUUAAACCACUUAAAACAAAGCAAGUGGAAACAGAGUGGUAAACCUUGGUCCGCCUGUCUUCGGUUGGGGCGACCGCGGGGCAAAGACAAACCCCCAUGUGGAAUGGACAAACCAUUUAGAGCUAAGAGACACAUCUCUAAGCCACAGAACAUCUGACCAAAAAUGAUCCGGACACCAGACCGAUCAACGAACCAAGUUACCCUAGGGAUAACAGCGCAAUCCUCUUCCAGAGUCCAUAUCGACAAGAGGGUUUACGACCUCGAUGUUGGAUCAGGACAUCCUAAUGGUGCAGCCGCUAUUAAG